rfam:Homo sapiens chromosome 19, GRCh38 reference primary assembly.
GCUGGGCAUGGUGGCUCAUGCCUGUAAUCCCAGCAUUUUAGGAGGCCGAGGUGGGCAGAUCACUUUAGGUCAGGAGUUCAAGACUCAGGAGUUUGAGACUAGCCUGGCCAACAAAGUGAAACCCCAUCUCUA